GAACGUGACAUUAGGACUGGAUUUGCAGAAUGUUGCCCAACAGGUGGGUGGAGUUUCUUUGACUUCGUUUCAGCUGGAGUAUUGAAACACACAGAUGCAGCCUUUAAAAUUAAUCUAGACUGUGAGAAAAAAGGUAACAAGAAUGUUCAAAUACAUGAGCUUGCACCACCAGCAUGUGUCCUUGCUCUUUCUCUUCUAGCUGUAAUAAUCACCUCCCAGUUAAGAUGGUUCUUCUCUUCCUCUGUCAUUCCUUGUUUCUGCAGUUCUGCACUGGAAAGCAGAGGGGAUAUUGGAUUUCCUUUCAUCACAAUGACAAGUCAGGGAAACAUCUGUUUUAAACAAAAUGUGCAAAAGUUAUAUAUAUGUUUAUUUGUCAUCUGCUGCUGGGAGCUGCUGAGUGACCUGCUGGUGUGCCCUAUAGACCUGGCCAUGGGAAAGACUGACUGUUGUUAACCUCUCAGCUCUUCCAUACCAGGGCACUGAUACAGGAGGCUGUUGGGAGCUUCCAUCUGACCAUAAUGUGAGAAACUCCAAUGCUGUGUGCACUGCCCAUGGAGGAGGCUGGAACUUCAGGGCAUUAUCUCACCAAAGACUCACUGAUACAGGCUUUGCUCAAGACUGCAGGUCCUUACUAAUUCAUUCUAAGGGGAGCAUGGAGAGGUUCCUACCCAUAACGGGAGUGAAAUCCUGCCUUGCUCCAGCUUGGGCUUUUGCCACGGCGCUGGGUGACAGCAGAUUUCAUCACUGGAUGGUGCAUCCUGACAUGGGCAUGAGAGAGUGUGAGCUGAGCUGGAGCACAGAAACCAUGAGCAGGGCAGCAACCUGGAGGCUAUCAGGUGUUGUAGAGAGAGGCACCUGAGUGGGAGUGGAGACGGGGAUAAUCAUUUCCUCAUGCAAAUGCUGCCUAAAAAGGGGUUGGUCUCUUGAGUAACAAAAGGGUUUUAAUAUGUGAGCUCCAAUUUUCUGUCUAUAUUUGCCUGUGUUUGGGUCUGUUUAUUUAUACUUCAUCGUGUGAAACAUGGUAGAGGACAAUGGUUUGUUCUCAGUCAGGGAAAUUAUUGCUACAAUACAGAAU
rnacentral:lncRNA from 1 species